CAAAAACCUGCACAUAGAUGUUUAUAGCAGCUUUAUUCAUAAUUUAUCCAAAACUUGGAAACAAGAUGUCUUUCAGUAGGUAAGUGGAUAACUGUGGUACUUCUGAAUAAUGGAAUGUUAUUUAGAGUUAAAAAGAAAUGCAUUCACUUUGGGAGGCCGAAGUGGGUGGAUUGCUUGAGGCCAGGAGUUUGAGACCAGCCUGGUCAACAUGGGAAAACCCCAAUUAGCCGGGCAUAGUGGCGUGAGCCUGUAAUCCCAGCUACUCGGGAGGCUGAGAUAUGAGAAUCGUUUGAACCUGGGAGAUGGAGGUUGCAGUGAGCCAGUGCCACUGCACUUCAGCCUGGGCAACAGAGCAAGACUCCUCUGUCUCAAAAAAAAAAAAAAAAAGAAAGAAAAGAAAAAAGAAAAAGAAAAAGAAAAGAAACGAUCAAGCCAUGAAAACACAUGAAGGAAACUUAAAUGUAUGUUACUAAAAAGCCAACCUGAAAAGACUGCAUACUAUAUGACUCCAACUGAUGCAGGGCAAGCAAGCCAAAAACAAACAAGACCUGGAUUUUCUGGGCUUCCCAGACUUCCACAUCUAGACUUGCUUUAAAUGGGAGAGAAAUAAACUUGUUUCAGCCACUGUCAUUUUGGGCUAUUUUAUAGAACUUAAUCUAAUCUUCAAGGGUACAUGAAUUGCUUUUCCUUAAAAAAAAAAUCAGCCAUAAAAUCAUCUUCUUUUUUCUUUUGUUCCCCACAUUAUUUAGUUGGAGCUCUGUAACUUUUUUUUUUUUUUUUUUUGAGACAAGGUCUUGCUCUGUCACUUAGGCUGGAAUUCAGUGGCAUGACCAUGGCUCACUGCAGCCUUGCCCUCCUAGGCUCAAGCAAUCCUCGUCUCAGCCUCCUGAGUAGCUGAAACUAAGGCACAUGCCACCAUGCCCAGCUAAUUUCUUUUCUUUUAGAGAUGGGAGCCUUGCCCAGGCUAGUCUCAAACUCCUAGCCUCAAGUGAUCCUCCCAUCUCAGCCUCCCAAAGUGACAGGAUUACAGGUGUGAGCCACCAUGCCUGGCUGCUCUGUAAGUGUCUGAAUUUCAUUUUGUAUUUAUCAGUCUGUUUAGAUUUUCUUUCCCUUCUUGGGUCAGUUAGGCCAUUGGUUUCUUUUUAAAGGUUUUCAAAUUUAUUUGCAUCUAAUUCUUCAAAUUACUCUCAAAAUUAUUCCAGUAUAUAUUCUUUUGUUCCUAUUUUCUUCUGUAUUCUUUAUUAAAAUAGCUAAUGAUUUAUCUAGCAGGACUUAUAUUCUUUCCAUAACUUUCCUGCACCCCAAUUAAUCUCCAAUUUUAUAUUUCUUCUGGCCUUCCUUAUAGUUUCCACAGGUUUAUUUUAUUCAUUUUUUAAAACUUUUAUUUAAUUGUUUAUUUUAUUAUCAUUCUUUCUUAUUCAGCAAUCUAAGUGCUUAGGGAUAUAGAAUUUCCUCUAAGCAGCAUAUGCUAGGCUUUAACAAUGUUAGGGAGGCCUCCCCUUUCUGGGGAAGACCACACUUACAUUAACACAGGACUGUGGGAUGCCAAGAGGUAGAGAAGAGCUUAUGAAUAUCCAGAUUACAUCUUCACUGAUCCUGCACAAAGGUGGGGUUCCUCGGUUACCCACUGGGUCCUAUUACCCAAGUCUGGGUCAGCAUACCGAGACUACGGGUAUAUAGAACAAGUGCAACUGGCGAUAAUCCUUCUGUUGGGGAGAAAAAUCUUUUUUUUCUAUUCAUCUUAGGUUCUCCAUCUGUGGCCCUAUCAAGUAGACUAACAAAAGACAGAUUGACAAGACAGAAACAAAGCAUGUGCAUUGUACAAACACAGGGGAGUACUGAGAUGAAUACUCAAAAGAGGAUUUAGAACUUGGGCUUAUAUAGCAUUUUAAGAAAAGAAUACAUUUUUUAAGUGACAAGGAAGACGAAAAGGACUUUGAGUUUCUAGUGCAGUAAAUUGUGGGAAGGCAACUUUUUCUUUCCCUUUUUUUUUUUUUUUUUUUAAAAAAAAAGACUUCUCUGGUGCUAUGUCCAGGCUGAUAAGAGUCUAAAGUCUCUGGUGACUAACUUUUGUUCUUCCCCGAGUAAGAAGACACCUUCACAAUUUCAUAUCCUGCUUUUAGGCAAAUAGGGAGAGGGCAGAGGUGUUUGUUUGUUUUUAAUCUAUUUUUUUUCUCAAUUGUCUUCAACUCAAAAUACUUCUUAUGCCAAAGAUGGCAUAUUCUGCUACCCUUCACUUACUACUUACAACCCAGCCUCUAU
rnacentral:lncRNA from 1 species